rnacentral:rRNA from 1 species
UACGUAGGGUGCGAGCGUUAAUCGGAAUUACUGGGCGUAAAGUGUGCGCAGGCGGCCGAGCAAGUCGAGUGUGAAAGCCCCGAGCUUAACUUGGGAACUGCGCUCGAAACUACUUGGCUAGAGUGUGGCAGAGGGAGGUGGAAUUCCACGUGUAGCGGUGAAAUGCGUAGAGAUGUGGAGGAACACCGAUGGCGAAGGCAGCCUUCUGGGCCAAUACUGACGCUCAUGCACGAAAGCGUGGGGAGCAAACAGG